CGCUGCCUUAUGAGGUUGCGUAACUUCCGGUCUUGCGCUAUACUUUUAUUGUGGGCGCCGCAGCAGUCAUUUUGGAAUCGGGCAAACGUCUUUUCGCAGAGUCUGCGUUUCCGAGAAGAAUUUCGCAGGAAAUGGGAUGAACUAUGGUGAAAACGAUGGUUCCGGCAAUGGUUUUUGCUAACGCUCUGCGCCUCCUGAACUGUUGGUGCUUAAGUUUCAUGGAAGCACAUGUUCUUUUACUCACGGUUUCAUAGAGUGAGUGUGUGGGUUGAAUUGCAUCCCUCAAAAAGAUUUACUCUUUUUUCUGUCCUGCCAUGCACCUGAGGAGAUCUAUGUAUAAAGGUUGUGUCAUCUGGCUUCCACUGACUUCCUGCUUCUGGCAGAGUCUGGCCAACUAAAGUCACAGGGAAGAGAUUGGAGGAAGAGAAGAAAGAGAAGUCCAGCUGCUCCAUGAAGCCCGCAUUUGGACAUAUGGAAGGCCUUGCAUUUUUCACCAAAGAAAAAGCACUGAUGAACGAGAUUUCUUCAGAAUUCAUCAGGAAACCUAUUACAAUUGCAGCAGCCCUGGAAACUCCUGCAUUACAAUGAACAAGAACCACACCAUCCUGCAAUAAAAAUCAAUCAAAAAUCUUCAUUAUUCACCUAGAAAGUUGUUAAAUCAGUUGCACAUUCUUAUACUACUUGAAAUUAUAAAAUAAAAAUAUUCAUUUUAUCAA